GAGGAUUUAGCUUAAUAAAAGCGAUUGAUUUGCAUUCAUUAGAUGUAAGAUAUAAACUUGCAGUCCUUA
rnacentral:tRNA from 1 species